CCUACGGGCGGCUGCAGUGAGGAAUAUUGGUCAAUGGACGAGAGUCUGAACCAGCCAAGUAGCGUGAAGGAUGACUGCCCUAUGGGUUGUAAACUUCUUUUAUAUGGGAAUAAAAUGUUCCACGUGUGGGAUUUUGUAUGUACCAUAUGAAUAAGGAUCGGCUAACUCCGUGCCAGCAGCAGCGGUAAUACGGAGGAUCCGAGCGUUAUCCGGAUUUAUUGGGUUUAAAGGGAGCGUAGGUGGAUUGUUAAGUCAGUUGUGAAAGUUUGCGGCUCAACCGUAAAAUUGCAGUUGAAACUGGCAGUCUUGAGUACAGUAGAGGUGGGUGGAAUUCGUGGUGUAGCGGUGAAAUGCUUAGAUAUCACGAAGAACUCCGAUUGCGAAGGCAGUUCACUGGACUGCAACUGACACUGAGGCUCGAAAGUGUGGGUAUCAAACAGGAUUAGAUACCCCUGUAGUC
rnacentral:rRNA from 1 species